UUCCACUCUCUGAAAUGAAAAAUUUAUUUGGACUUUCUUAAGAGCGAUUGAACAUUACAGAAGAAAGAAUGAGUGAACUUGAAAAGAGAUCAAUAGAUAUCAUUCCAUCUGAAGUACAAGGGAAAAUGAAACUGAAAGAAAACAAGGAAGCGAGUCUCCGUGACAUGUGGUACAAUAUCAUGCAGUACACAUGGAACCAGAACCAAGAAGAAAUGGCUGGAAAAGAUGAAAGAAAAAAAAAGUUGAUAUAUUCUCAAAUGUAGUGAAAACACAUCAACUUACAGAUUCAAAAAGUUCAUAAACCCCUCAUAAAAAUAAAUGUAAAGAAAACCCUACCUGGACACAUCAUAGUCAAUCAUACAGAGCAAAUUUUGUGCAUUCACAAGUAGCAAAGAUAUGAACGACAGCUGACUCAAAACAAUGGAGGCUCAGGAUGUGUGAAAUGGUGAAAGAAAGCUGUUGACUCACUAUUCACACUCAUUGAGAAUAUCCUUUAAAAACAAUGUGUGAAGACAUUGUGGCAGAUUGAACUUUCCAAAUUUCACCACAACAACAAAUGUAACCAGAAUAAACAAUCCAAUUAAAAGGCAGAGUUUCCUCAACUAGAAAAAAAAAAGCAAGCUGAAAUUAUUGUCUAAAAUAUAUGCACCUUAAAUAUAAAGCUUCAGAUAGAUUGAAAGUAAAAGAUGGAGGCCGGGCAUGUUAGCUCAUGCCUGUAAUCUCAGCACUUUUGGAGGCUGAGGUUGGCGGAUCACUUGAGGUCAGGAGUUCAAGACCAGCCUGGUCAACAUGGUAAAACCUCGUCUCUGCUGAAAAUACACAAAUUAGCUGGGCAUGGUGGCAGGUGCCUGUAAUCCCAGCUACUCGGGAGGCUGAGGCAGGAGAAUUGCUUGAACCUGGUAGGCAGAGGAGGCCGUAAAAGCCUCUUAGAGGCCAGACCCCGCGGUGGCCUCGGUGGCCUUCAUUCCGCUGCCCGUCCGCCCACCGAGCGCCUGCUGGGUGCCAGGAACCCGGCCACGGAAAGGCUGAGGUCGACUCCCGACCGAGAAGCCUCGCGCUGGGACCAAGUGGCAAAACGACUCCGAAUGCAGCGGCAUCCACGCGGCGGCCGUGGUUGAGGA
rnacentral:antisense_RNA from 1 species